AUUGAACGCUGGCGGCAGGCCUAACACAUGCAAGUCGAGCUAGCGGCGGACGGGUGAGUAAUGUAUGGGGAUCUGCCCGAAGGAGGGGUAUAACUACUGGAAACGGUGGCUAAUACCGCAUACUAUCGGAUGAACCCAUAUGGGCGUAGCUAGUCGGGGGGGUAAAGUCUCACCUAGGCGACGAUACCUAGCUGGUCUGAGAGGAUGAUCAGCCACAAUGGGACUGAGACACGGCCCAGACGCCUACGGGAGGCAGCAGUGGGGAAUAUGGCACAAUGGGCGCAAGCCUGAUGCAGCCAUGCCGCGUGUAUGAAGAAGGCCUUAGGGUUGUAAAGUACUUUCAGAGAGGAGGCGUUACCCGCAAAAGAAGCACAGGAUAACUCCGUGACAGCAGCCGCGGUAAUUC
rnacentral:rRNA from 1 species